rnacentral:rRNA from 1 species
CUGGCGGCAGGCCUAACACAUGCAAGUCGAGCGGAUGACGGGAGCUUGCUCCUUGAUUCAGCGGCGGACGGGUGAGUAAUGCCUAGGAAUCUGCCUGGUAGUGGGGGACAACGUUUCGAAAGGAACGCUAAUACCGCAUACGUCCUACGGGAGAAAGCAGGGGACCUUCGGGCCUUGCGCUAUCAGAUGAGCCUAGGUCGGAUUAGCUAGUUGGUGGGGUAAUGGCUCACCAAGGCGACGAUCCGUAACUGGUCUGAGAGGAUGAUCAGUCACACUGGAACUGAGACACGGUCCAGACUCCUACGGGAGGCAGCAGUGGGGAAUAUUGGACAAUGGGCGAAAGCCUGAUCCAGCCAUGCCGCGUGUGUGAAGAAGGUCUUCGGAUUGUAAAGCACUUUAAGUUGGGAGGAAGGGCAGUAAGUUAAUACCUUGCUGUUUUGACGUUACCGACAGAAUAAGCACCGGCUAACUCUGUGCCAGCAGCCGCGGUAAUACAGAGGGUGCAAGCGUUAAUCGGAAUUACUGGGCGUAAAGCGCGCGUAGGUGGUUUGUUAAGUUGGAUGUGAAAGCCCCGGGCUCAACCUGGGAACUGCAUCCAAAACUGGCAAGCUAGAGUACGGUAGAGGGUGGUGGAAUUUCCUGUGUAGCGGUGAAAUGCGUAGAUAUAGGAAGGAACACCAGUGGCGAAGGCGACCACCUGGA